AACGCCCAAACCACACCAACCCCCCGCCCGGGCGGGGGAGGUCUUUUUGGGGGGGCCCAGCCUCUUUUUUUGGGGGGAAAACAGACGUCGCGGUGAAUACGUUCUACGGGGUUUCGUACACACCGCCCGCCAAACCACGUAAAGUUGGGCAAUACCCAAAGGCGGUGGCCUAACUUGAGCAACCGAGGGGGAGCCCGCAAAAGGCAA
rnacentral:misc_RNA from 1 species